rnacentral:sRNA from 2 species
UAGACAUUGGAAAGCUCUUCGACAACUUCGAGACUGUCGGCCUAAAAUACGGCCCUAUUUUUAAGAACUUAUCCGAUAUCACAGCCAACGACCAACAACCAGGUGUCAUAACGGCCACGGCUACCACCCCGGAAUUGGCGUCUACAAUGCCAAAGGGUUAUCUCCAGUCUCACACCAUUCAUCCUGUCACGUUAGACAGCAUGUUUGUUGCUGGGCUUGUGGCCAUCUGUGACCAUGGCGGCCAGACAGUUUUGAAGCGACCCAUGGUACCGACUUUCAUCAAAGACUCGUGGAUUUCCAUGGACAACAAUUCCCAAGC